GACGAACGCUGGCGGCGUGCUUAACACAUGCAAGUCGAACGGAAAGGCCCUGCUUUUGUGGGGUGCUCGAGUGGCGAACGGGUGAGUAACACGUGAGUAACCUGCCCUUGACUUUGGGAUAACUUCAGGAAACUGGGGCUAAUACCGGCUAGGAGCUCCUGCUGCAUGGUGGGGGUUGGAAAGUUUCGGCGGUUGGGGAUGGACUCGCGGCUUAUCAGCUUGUUGGUGGGGUAGUGGAUUACCAAGGCUUUGACGGGUAGCCGGCCUGGGAGGGUGACCGGCCACGUUGGGACUGAGAUACGGCCCAGACUCCUACGGGAGGCAGCAGUGGGGAAUAUUGUACAAUGGGCGGAAGCCUGAUGCAGCAACGCCGCGUGCGGGAUGACGGCCUUCGGGUUGUAAACCGCUUUCGCCUGUGACGAAGCGUGAGUGACGGUAAUGGGUAAAGAGGCACCGGCUAACUACGUG
rnacentral:rRNA from 1 species